rnacentral:rRNA from 1 species
GACGAACGCUGGCGGCGUGCUUAACACAUGCAAGUCGAACGGUGAAGCGCCUUCCUUUUUGGUGGGUGUGGAUGAGUGGCGAACGGGUGAGUAACACGUGAGUAACCUGCCCCCUUCUUCUGGAUAACCGCAUGAAAGUGUGGCUAAUACGGGAUAUUCUGGGUCUGUCGCAUGAUGGGUCUGGGAAAGAUAUUGUUUCGGUGGGGGAUGGGCUCGCGGCCUAUCAGCUUGUUGGUGGGGUGAUGGCCUACCAAGGCGGUGACGGGUAGCCGGCCUGGGAGGGUGGACGGUCACACUGGGAAGGAGACACGGCCAAGACUCCUACGGGAGGCAGCAGUGGGGAAUAUUGCACAAUGGGCGCAAGCCUGAUGCAGCGACGCCGCGUGAGGGAUGGAGGCCUUCGGGUUGUGAACCUCUUUCGCCAGUGAAGCAGGCCUGCCUCGUUUGUGGGUGGGUUGACGGUAGCUGGAUAAGAAGCGCCGGCUAACUACGUG